rnacentral:misc_RNA from 1 species
UAAUAAGUGUUUUAUGGCACUUUUUAAAUCCAUAUCCACCUUGUGUGCAAUGUCAGGUCGAUCCUUCUUUUAUGGAGGAUCGACCAAACAUCAACCUUUAUUUUUAACUCUUUGUCUGAAAAAUAUUAUGAAUAAACAAUUCAAAAUA